CUGCGAUACUUUUAGUGCCAAUAAUGAGAUCUGGGGACUUUCAGAAACAACAAUUACGGUGUAUCAUUUCUGCUGCCCCCACGGCAAAGCCUUUAGGCAUUGAAACUGUUUUGAGAAAUGAAUAUAUACUAUUGCUAAUGUUGGCUUUCAUUUAUCUAGUGAAGCUUUUUCUUAUUUGCUGUUUUACUGAGUUUCUGUUGUUCAGCCAACACAAGACUCUUUUUUUUACAGAGAAGAGAGAGGAAAAUACACGACUUGGAAACCUCAUUUGGUGCUUGAUGUUCCUGAUGAAAUCUGAAAGGGAUGUUCUAAUGGAUGCUUAAAUACUUGAGGAAAAAGCCACACUGAAAAGAAUAU
ensembl:lncRNA